rnacentral:rRNA from 1 species
UACGUAGGGGGCUAGCGUUGUCCGGAAUCAUUGGGCGUAAAGCGCGUGUAGGCGGUCCGGUAAGUCCGCUGUGAAAGUCGGGGGCUCAACCCUCGGAUGCCGGUGGAUACUGUCGGGCUAGAGUGCGGAAGAGGCGAGUGGAAUUCCUGGUGUAGCGGUGAAAUGCGCAGAUAUCAGGAGGAACACCAAUUGCGAAGGCAGCUCGCUGGGACGUUACUGACGCUGAGACGCGAAAGCGUGGGGAGCAAACAGG